CUAGUGGUAUGGAUAAACAAAACAAACUUUAAGUUUGUCUUCCAUUGGGUAAUACUAAUUAUUUUAAAAUCUCAUAAUGGAUGGAAAAUAUUAUUUUUAUGCCUAAGCAUAAAAUAAACUCCCAAUAAUACUGAUUCCAUUAAGCACUAUCAUGUAGAGUAUUGUGUAAACCUCUGAUGAACAAGUACAAUAGUAAUUUUUAGCUAUGACAACUGAAUACUAUAUCAGUAUUAUGUUCCUUGUUUCAGAACAAUGUCUGGCAGAAGAACCAGAGAUGCUGUAACAGAAGUAUUUAAUACAGUAAGUUAAAAGCCAAAUAAUAAGAAGACAACGAAGAAAGACCGUUACAGUAGUGUCUGAUAUAUUUUAUGUAUUUGUAGAAUAAAAUAAAAUUAUCAAGAUAUA